rnacentral:lncRNA from 1 species
CUUUGGUGAAUAUGAUAUUCAUACUAUCUAAUUCUUGGAGGACAGCCAGUAAUAUAUAAUUUUGGCGCCUGCGUGUUUUAUAUACAUUUGUAUUACAAACAAACAGACAAAACGCAAUUGACCUAUGUAUGGAAGUAUUAUUAUUUGUUAGAUUUGGUAAUAUGCCCUCCCAUGAUCUGAUCUAAUGAAGGGUCUUUAUAUGUAGUUG